CUACGGGUCGCAGCAGUGGGGAAUAUUGCACAAUGGGCGCAAGCCUGAUGCAGCCAUGCCGCGUGUAUGAAGAAGGCCUUCGGGUUGUAAAGUACUUUCAGCGGGGAGGAAGGGAGUAAAGUUAAUACCUUUGCUCAUUGACGUUACCCGCAGAAGAAGCACCGGCUAACUCCGUGCCAGCAGCCGCGGUAAUACGGAGGGUGCAAGCGUUAAUCGGAAUUACUGGGCGUAAAGCGCAGGCAGGCGGUUUGUUAAGUCAGAUGUGAAAUCCCCGGGCUCAACCUGGGAACUGCAUCUGAUACUGGCAAGCUUGAGUCUCGUAGAGGGGGGUAGAAUUCCAGGUGUAGCGGUGAAAUGCGUAGAGAUCUGGAGGAAUACCGGUGGCGAAGGUGGCCCCCUGGACGAAGACUGACGCUCAGGUGCGAAAGCGUGGGGAGCAAACAGGAUUAGAUACCCGCGUAGUC
rnacentral:rRNA from 1 species